rnacentral:rRNA from 1 species
GAUGAACGCUGGCGGCGUGCCUAAUACAUGCAAGUCGAGCGAACGGACGAGAAGCUUGCUUCUCUGAUGUUAGCGGCGGACGGGUGAGUAACACGUGGAUAACCUACCUAUAAGACUGGGAUAACUUCGGGAAACCGGAGCUAAUACCGGAUAAUAUUUUGAACCGCAUGGUUCAAAAGUGAAAGACGGUCUUGCUGUCACUUAUAGAUGGAUCCGCGCUGCAUUAGCUAGUUGGUAAGGUAACGGCUUACCAAGGCAACGAUGCAUAGCCGACAUGAGAGGGUGAUCGGCAACACUGGAACUGAGACACGGUACAGACUACUACGGGAGGAAGCAGUAGGGAAUCUUCCGCAAUGGGCGAAAGCAUGACGGAGCAACGCCGCGUGAGUGAUGAAGGUCUUCGGAUCGUAAAACUCUGUUAUUAGGGAAGAACAUAUGUGUAAGUAACUGUGCACAUCUUGACGGUACCUAAUCAGAAAGCCACGGCUAACUACGUG